rnacentral:rRNA from 1 species
CGCGGCCUAUCAGCUUGUUGGUGAGGUAAUGGCUCACCAAGGCGACGACGGGUAGCUGUUCUGAGAGGAAGAUCAGCCACACUGGGACUGAGACAUGGCCCAGACUCCUACGGGAGGCAGCAGUGGGGAAUCUUGCGCAAUGGGCGAAAGCCUGACGCAGCAACGCCGCGUGCGGGAAGACGGCCUUCGGGUUGUAAACCGCUUUCAGCAGGGACGAAAUUGACGGUACCUGCAGAAGAAGCUCCGGCCAACUACGUGCCAGCAGCCGCGGUAAGACGUAGGGGGCGAGCGUUGUCCGGAAUUAUUGGGCGUAAAGGGCUCCUAGGCGGUUCAGUAAGUCGACUGUGAAAAUCCAAGGCUCAACCUUGGGACGCCAGUCGAUACUGCUGUGACUCGAGUCCGGUAGAGGAGUGUGGAAUCUCUGGUGUAGCGGUGAAAUGCGCAGAUAUCAGAGGGAACACCAACGGCGAAGGCAGCACUCUGGGCCGGUACUGACGCUGAAGAGCGAAAGCAUGGGGAGCAAACAGGAUUAGAUACCCUGGUAGUCCAUGCCGUAAACGUUGGGCACUAGGUGUGGGGUCUUAUCAACGGACUCCGUGCCGCAGCUAACGCAUUAAGUGCCCCGCCUGGGGAGUACGG